AGAAAUAUUUGCAGAGCUUAUUUGUUAGGAAUUACUCAUAAAUGAGAAGUUAAUCUUUUGGAAAAUUUUCUCAGGAUUUCAAAGUCAAGAGCCAGUUUACGAGAAUAAUAUAAUACAUUUCUGUUGACAAAGCACUGUUAAAUGCAUGCUGUUGUUGACUCAUAACAGUUGUGUGACGUUGCUGCUAUCAUCAUUCUUUUUUUAAAGCUGAGGGAACAGAGGCUCAGAUACACACUUCUUAGGCUUCCGUUCUUUCCUCUGAGUCACGUAAUACUCCCACUAUAUCCCACGUCUUCCCUUUGCCUUGUUCAUUUCCAAGACAACCAUGGGUGUGUAAAUUUUCAAGGUAGGAUGCCAAUAUCAACUUCUUGUUUUUGAAUAGUUUGAUGAGCUUUAUUAAAACUUUUAUUUUUAAAGAAGUUGAUUGUGAUAAUUUAUAGUCUCUUCAGACACUAUUUAUAACAAUGUUUGGCACAUAGUAAGAACUCAGAUAUUUGUGAAAUGAAUAGGUAAAGUAUAUAAGAUGGAAAGGGAGACUUUUAAAGGAAGCAUUCCACAUUUCAUUGUGUACAAUGAAGGAAGUCAUUUGGAGGGCAGAGAAAAUAAAAAUGGAAGCUGAGGUCAUGUAGCGCCUUGUUACUUGAGGUAUGGUUCUUGAACCAGUAGCAUGGGCAUCACUUGGAAAUUGUUAGGAAUGCAGAAUCAUAGGCUCCAUCCAAAACUGGUGUAUUGGUCUGCCAUUGUCAGUGGUUCUCAACACUGAUUACACAUUAGAAUUACCUGGGGAAGUAAAAAUAAAAUAAAAUAGUCAGUCCUCACUUAUAGAUCAUUUAAAUAUAGCGUCUGGAUAUGCUGUAGUAUAAAGUCCUCAAUAGACGCCAGAACAUCUCAGCCUGUUGCUGGCAAGACACUGGAUUUAGUUUAAGAUACUGUGUCUCAGUGGAGCCCAGUUAUCUCAUUUGUAAUAAGGUGGGGGUCAUUUGAAGGUCCCUAAAGCCUAUUAUAUUCCUAACAUUCAGCAAUUCAAAGAAAAUGGACGCCCAUCUGUAGUAAAUCCUAAUUAUGUUGAAGAUUCUCCACCUUUGUGGCUUUAUAGUGGUGUUUAUGCUAAGUGAUUGUGAACCGUUGAAAAAACUCCCUCCAGACUGUGAGGAACUGCCUUGCUCCCGGCUUCUUCACUAGAUGUUUAUGCUGCUUUCUUUUGUCAAUGCGUUCAAAGCCAACCAUUUUUUUUUUUUUAAUUAAGAUUAUGAUAGAUUACAACCUUGUGAGAUUUCAGUUGUACAUUAUUGUUAGUCAUGUUGUGGGUACACCACUUCGCCCUUUGUGCCCUCCCCCCACCCUGCCUUUUCCCUGGUAACCACUGAUCAGUUCUCCUUGUCUAUAUGUUAACUUCCACCUUAUAAGUGGAGUCAUAUAGAAUUCGUCUUUCUCUGUCUGGCUUAUUUUGCUUAACAUAAUACCCUCAAGGUCCAUCCAUGUUGAUGCGAAUGGAACAAUUUGGUCCUUUUUUAUGGCUGAGUAGUAUUCCAUUGUGUAUAUAUACACCGUAUCUUCUUUAUCCAAUCAUCGGUUGCUGGGCACCUAGGUUGGUUCCACAUCUUGGCUAUUGUAGAUAAUGCUGCGAUGAACAUAGGGGUGCAUGGGACUCUUGGGAUUGCUGAUUUCAGGUUCUUAGGAUAGAUACCCAGUAGUGGGAUGGCUGGGUCAUAGGGUAUUUCUAUUUUUAACUUUUUGAGAAAUCUCCAUACUGUUUUCCAUAGUGGCUGUACCAGUUUGCAUUCCCACCAACAGUGUAUGAGGGUUCCUUUUUCUCCACAACCUCUCCAACAUUUGUCACUCUUGGUUUUGGAUAUUUUUGCCAUUCUAACAGGUGUAAGGUGAUAUCUUAGUGUAGUUUUGAUUUGCAUUUCCCUGAUGAUUAGUGAUGAUGAACAUCUUUUCAUGUGUCUAUUGGCCAUACUUAUAUCUUCUUUGGAGAAAUGUCUGUUCAUGUCCUCUGCCCAAUCUUUGAUCGGUUUGUUUGUUUUUUUGUUGUUAAGCUGUGUGAGUUCUUUGUAUAUUAUGGAGAUUAAUCCUUUGUUGGAUAAGUAGCUUGUAAAUAUUUUUUCCCAAUUAGUGGGCUGUUUUUUUGUUUCAAUCCUGUUUUCCCUUGCCUUGAAGAAACUCUUUAGUCUGAUGAAGUCCCAUUUGUUUAUUCUUUCUGUUGUUUCCCUCAUCUGAGGAGUUAUAGUGUCUGAAAAGAUUCUUUUGAAACUGAUGUCAAAGAGUGUACUGCCUAUAUUCUCUUCUAGAAGACUUAUUGUUUCAGGCCUAAUCUUUAGGUCUUUGAUCCAUUUUGAGUUUAUUUUUGUGAAUGGUGAAAAAGAAUGGUCAAUUUUCAUUCUUUUACAUGUGGCUGUCCAGUUUUCCCAGCACCAUUUGUUGAAGAGACUUUCUUUUCUCCAUUGUAGGCCUUCAGCUCCUUUGUCAAAGAUUAGCUGUCCAUAGAUGUGUGGUUUUAUCUCUGGCCUUUCAAUUCUGUUCCAUUGAUCUGUGCACCUGUUUUUGUACCAGUACCAUGCUGUUUUGACCACUGUAGCUUUGUAGUAUGUUUUGAAAUCGGAGAUUGUGAUGCCUCGAGCUUUGUUUUUCUUACUCAGGAUUGUCAAAGCCAACCAUUUUAUGAGAUAAAUUUUGGCCCUGGGCAGGAAGAGACCUACAAAGACCUUGACUUAACAUGGGCUCAGUUCUUGCUGCUGGAGAUAGAGGUCUCACUAGAGGUAUAUCCUUUACUGUUUUAGUGGAUUUUCUUGAAUUUUUCCUCCUGAUCUUUUAUCUGGAGUAAAGCUUCAUGCAGAGCAAUAGUAGGAAAUAUAAGGAAGGGGAGUUUGAGGAUCCAUGGGAAGUUCAUGAAGUGCAAUGUGAAGAGAACUGCCUUUGUUCAGGAGGCAGUGAGGAACUACUGAAAUUUGUUCAAUGAACCCAUUACUUGAGACACUGAAAUAUCCGUUGAAUGAGUGACUAAAAGUAUAGUAAGUACUGAAGAGAGAUGUAGCUAGGUUGAUUGAUUAAAGAAGGAUAAGAUGGCUAUUGGCUUAAAACAAAAAUGGGAAUGAGUUAAAUAUGGGAGGUGAUAAAGGCCAUAGAAAGAACAGAAAGAUGGGAGACAAGUUGGUACCCACUUGACUUAGGAGAAUGAUAUCACAUUAGAGUAGUUCUUCUCAAAUUAUAACAUGUGUAAGAAUGACCUGGAGAACUUGUAAACACACUGAUUCUUGGCCCCAGCUCCUAAGGUUCUUUUUAGUAAUCAGAGGUAAGAUCCAAGAAUUUUCAUUCUGUGCAAGUUCCCAGGGGAUGCUGAUGCUGCUGGUCUGAGGACCACAUUUCUAAUAGCACUACUUUAGGGUCUGGGACCUGGAGUUGGAAUAUUUUGUUUUCAGUUUUGGUUCUGCUACCUACUGACUGUGUUAUCUCAAGCAAAUCUAUUACCUCUCCUCGGACAAUGCUUAAAAUACUAUAACGUAUCAUUUACUUGGGAUGUUGUUAAAAAUGCAGAUUCUGAUUCAGCUGGUCUGGGAUGGGGCUGAAUUUCUGUGUGUCUGACAAGUUCCGACGUGAUACGUUGCUUGUCCUAGGAACAAGUUAGCAAGUUUCUAGGCCAUUACUUCUCCCAUGACCCACAUGCUUAUUGUUACAAUGAAAUGAAAGCAUAUAAGCUGAAAAAAACUCUGCAAAUUGUAAAACAAAAUGUUCAUGUAGGGUAAUAGUAGUAGAGUGAUAGAGAAAGGAAAUGGAAGAUAUAACUGGGUUUUGAGCUGACUAUCUAGGAGAAUUUUCACACAUUUCUAGAAAUAGAGAAGUUGGGAAAAAGAACUGAUUUAAGAAAAAUGUUGACUUGGGGGAAAAGUAGCAGGCAGUUGAAAACAUAAGACAGAAAUAAGCUUGAAAAAAAAUUUAGUCUUGAGAUACCAAUUUAGGAGUUGUAUAUAUAUGGUUGAAUGAUAUUUUUGAGUAUGUGGGUGUACAGAAAGAAAAGAGAUUAAAUACAGAAUCUGGAAAGAGACAACAUUUGGAAGAUAGGAGAAGGAAGAGGUAUCGUCAAAAGAUGGAUCAUAUUCUAGCACUUUGUCAUAGGGUCAUCACUUGUCCAAGCCUGAGCUGUGUCAACGGAUUUUACAUCCUCAUGGUUGAGGAUGACAGUUGGUUGAGUUUUCUAGGCAUUACCUUACUUGGAUAUUAUGGAAGCAUCCGUUUGUGUGUGAGGGUUAUAAGCAGCUGCCCCAUGGAUGAUGGAAGAUACACACCCAGGAUUUGUUAGUGUCUUGGAACAAGUCAUAGGCAUUGAGAAAAUAGAACAAUUGAGGGAGAUCGUGAAUUUUAUAAAAGAUAGAAGGGAGAAGAAGUGAGGGAUUCUGCAACUGGAUAUCCAUAAAAAAGAUGUUAAUUCCUUGCUUUGUCAAUCAAUUCAGAUAUUUGAACAUCUAUGAAGCUCAAGAGAAAAUGCAGUUCAGCAGCUUAUGGAGAGUAGCAUUUUCACAGAGAUAAUUGAUCCAUUGGGUAAAAUAAUAAGUAGAUUUACCUGACUGUUAAUCAAAGCAUAAUUUUAAAAGAAAAGCAUGAUUAGUUUAAGACACAGUGUAUUUUUACAUGUCGUGAUGAUGUUAUGAUAUGCUUAAGGAUGCUUCCAAAUAAUGACCUUGGAUACUAUGAAAGGUUAACACGAAUUCUGUUUUUCUUUUUCCCAUAUAUCAUUUACUCUUUUGCUUUUUUGGUACUUUUGUUUUCCCUCAUAAAUUUUAAAGUGCUCAGUGUUAGAAUCUGGAAUUUUAAAGUUUGAUUUGCAAUAAUCAAAACUCCAAAUCAACAGAGGUCUCUUUCUAACAUUGAUUUACUCUCAGAGGGUCAUUUGUAAACGUAUUCAUUACAGACACCCUCCGCGAAUAUUCAAUAAUACAUCAAUCAUUGAGCUGUUUAUGUUAAGAGACACAAUUGAAAUUGAACAAUAUAAUUCAAUAAAAUUACUGGUCUUUUUAUUUAUUCCUCUCAACCCUAGUUGCUCAGUCACUGUAAACAGAUCCAUUGAAAACAAUUCGCUUUUCUGUUGUUUCAUGAUUGAUCUUCUCAAACACAUGAUUAUUCUUAAUUCAGACAAAAUAUUUCAUUUCUUUAAGAACAUGAAAAAGAAUUAGAGCCAGCUGAAUGCAGUAAGGGAUGAGGAAGGAAGACACUCAAUAAAAGGAAAUCAAACCUGUUUACAAGUCUGGGAUCCAAACACUUGUGAGCAUUCACAGAGGAAUUAAAGAUAGAUAGAGGAGAAAGGGCAAGAGAUAAGAAUAAGAUAUGCUUCCUGAAGACCGAAGAGCUCAAGGUUAAAUAGAGGGCACUGAACAAGUAAAGCUGUGCUAAAAAAGAACCGUGGCCAAGGCAGGGAUGUUCUGAUACCCGAACAGUCGUGCAGAUGGAAGUCUGGCCAGCAAAACCAUAAAGCAUUGAAUCUAACUAUUCAUUGCCCUGGAGGUUUCAGUUAGUUAAUAUUGAACAGGAAUUCCAGGAAGGAUUUCUGUUUUUAAAUUAUAGAACAUGCUGGUAUAUGUUCAUAAACAGCUGGAUUCCUGGAAUGAGUGCGACCACUGCAGUGCCACUUGACCUUAGGAGUGGUGUGACCCAGGGUCUUCCUUUAUCUUCUUAAACACCGCUACAACGUAAGAUCCUUGAGAACAGACAUUGUUGUUCAUCACCUUAUCCUCUGGACUGUGCCUGGCACAAGCAUUAAUGGGUAUAAAUCUUAAGAAGGCCUAAAAGCAUCAGCUUUUGUGCUUUGAGUCGUCCCAAGCUGCCGUGUAAGAAGUCUGGCUACCCUGCCAUAGAAAUCCUCAUGCAGAGAUGAUGGGGAGAGACCACAGGAAGAAGAAGAGAGACAGGAGAGGCCAUGCCAUCCCAGUAGCUGUCCCAGUUUUCCAAGUGAGCCUAGACUUCCAGCCAUUUCCACCGAGUCUCAGAUAUGUGAGCCCAUCUGCCACCUGACUGCAGCUUCAGCUUCGUUAUAGACCCUAAGAAGACCAGGAGAGAAACCAUAGAGCUGGGCCCCAGUGAGCCCACCGAACUGUGAGAAGUGACAACAUGGCCAUUGUUGUAAGUGCCUGGGCUUUGUGAGAGUUUGUAACGGAGCAGCAGGUGACCAAACAACUGGGUAGUUUGCAUGCAUUUCUUCCUUUCUUUUCAUUCCUUUUCUCCCUUGCUCUUCAUGUUUCUCAUAGUUUAGUCCUUGGUCUUCUGUUUCUCUCCCUCCAGUAUACUCUUUGUAGAGAGCUAGCUUAUUCUCACAGCUUCAAGGACUUUCUGAUCAUGAUUCCAUGAUCUCUCUCUAUUCAUACCCUUUCAUCUGUUUUAUGGAACUGCACCUCCAUCAGCUUAGUGAAUGCUUCUUUUCCUUAAACUCUUCACUACGAUCAUAAGACUUUUCCAUUUAAGGGUUUCAAUAACCAUCCAUAUAAAUUCAAGGCCCUCCACAUUCUGUUGACACUUACUAUCGAAGCUUACUUCUUUCACUUCCCAGCAUGUUCUCUUGUCAGUAGAUCUUCUUACUAUCCCAUAAGCAAUAACUGCUUCUAUGCCUUUGCUGACGAUGCUGCUUCUUCUGAAAUGUCCUCUUAACAUCCUCCUAUUUUUCAAAAUAUUUAUCAUUCCUCCAAUUUUAGCUUGCAUCCUACAGCUUUUUUAUCUUAAUUUUUUUCUAACUUCUCUUUCAUUGCCUUUCUUCAUCUCUGUGUUUCUACAGGAUUGAUCAUACAAUUUCUAUCCUUUCACAUAUUAUUUUAUAUGUUGGAUAUUGGGUAUGCAUUAUUGGCUACUAAUCAUUAUAGAUGCAGGUUGGUCUAAUAUUGAAGAUAUUCUCUCUUGACGUUAUAUAGUUCAAUUCAUGAGCAGAAUAUCAAGAUUUAGAAAGACAUUUGGAAAUUGGCAUAGUGGUUUCAUAGUUAUUGGUGUCGUAUGACUAAUGUACAAAGUGCAAGAAGUCAGGGGGCAGGAGAAGAUGGUGGGAAGGUGAGACAAUGAAAAGCCUCCUGUGCUGUGCAAAAGAUUUUGUAGUUUACCCUGUAGAUGCUAGGACACCAUGAAAAGAUUUUAGCAGGAGAGUAAAAGCCACUAGUUUCUAUUUUUGCAAAAUGAGACUGCUGCUGUCAAGAGAACAGAUUGAAGGUUGUGUUUUGGUGGUAGGGGAUGCAGAGGAAUGUAAAAGUGGUACCAGUGAGACGAGUUAGGAUGCUAAAACAAUCAUUAGGUCAGGUGAGAGAUGAUAAAAGCCUGAAUAGUAGCAGUGGGAGUUCAGAAGGGAGACAGAAGAGGUUUAUGAGGUGUCUUUAGGAAGAAGAAUUUUCAGAAUGCAGUGACCAAUUGGCUGAGGAGAGAGAACGAAUAUGACUCCCAGAUUGCUGAAUUGGGUAAUGGCUGUACCUCACACCAAGAUUGGGAAUGUACAAUGUGAAACAAGCAAAUGGGGUUGGGGAAUGGUCAGUUAUAUUUUAGUUGUUUUGAACUUGAAUUAUCUGUUGGAUAUCUAAGUGAAGAUGUCUGAAGGGUUAUGGAAAUAUAGGUUUGAAGCUUGAGAGAGAGGUCUGACUUAUAGAUAUAGAUUUGUGAAUCAUUACCAUAUAUGUGGUAAUAGAAAUCUUGAGAAUUAAUGAAAUUUCUCACAGAGAGUUUCAGUAGAAAAUGGAUCCCUGAAUACCAAUAAAAUUUGAAGGUAGGUGAAGAAGAGAAACACUUAAAGAAUGUGGGAGAAAAGGCUACCAAGGUGAAAGAAGGCAAGAGAACAGACUUCCAAGAAUGUGAUAUUGGUUGAGUGUUAAAGGCCCAUGGAGAGCUCAAGUUAAGAUAAGACUCAAAAUACACAAUGAAUUUAGUUUGACUGUUAGUUUGGGAAUUUUACUGAGGGUCUGAUGGUUUUAGUCUGGGCUGAAGAUGUGAAUUGCAAUGGCUUAAGUGGCUUAAGAGUGAAUGGGAAGGAAAGUAUGGCUGGGAAAAAAAUGAAAGUAAAUUAGUAACUUUAGUGAAAGUAAAUUAAUUAAAUUGUAAUAGAGGCAAUUGUUAAAGCAAUAGGACUUUUAUUUAAUUAUUUACUUAUUUUAAGAUUGGAGUGAUUUGAGUGUAUGCACCAAGGGAAAGAAACUUGUGAAGAAAAAGGGGAUAAAUAUAUAACAGCGAGAGAGAGAGAGAGAUGUGCAGAAAGGG
ensembl:lncRNA